rnacentral:rRNA from 1 species
AGCGUAUAUUAAAGUUGUUGCAGUUAAAAAGCUCGUAGUUGAAUUUCGGGAUCAAUAUGUUGGUCGUGCCUCGGUACGUACUAGCUUAUUGGUUUCUCCUUUCUGAAGAACCAUGAUGUCAUUCAUUUGGUGUCGUGGGGAAUCAGGACUGUUACUUUGAAAAAAUUAGAGUGUUUAAAGCAGGCUCACGCUUGAAUACAUUAGCAUGGAAUAAUGAAAUAGGACGUUUGAUUCUAUUUUGUUGGUUUCUAGGAUCGACGUAAUGAUUAAUAGGGAUAGUUGGGGGCAUUAGUAUACAAUUGUCAGAGGUGAAAUUCUUGGAUUUAUUGAAGACUAACUACUGCGAAAGCAUUUGCCAAGGAUGUUUUCAUUAAUCAAGAACGAAAGUUAGGGGAUCGAAGACGAUCAGAUACCGUCGUAGUCUUAACCAUAAACUAUGCCGACUAGGGAUCGGAUGAUGUUAAUUUUUUAAUGACUCAUUC